rnacentral:lncRNA from 1 species
GAGUUAGGAAUAUGUACCUAACAAGUGAUAAUAUCACAAAAUCUGACCGACCGUCUCUAGAGCAAGUGAUAAAAAAUUUAAUAAUUGAUAUCUGAGACCUAAGUUCGAAUACUAGUUGAUUCGUAUUUCUAUCUAAGUUUAUUUCUAAAUAAAAUAAACGAAGUGGGUAGCGUGCUACCUAUCUCUCAAAAAAUAUCACAAAAUCUGCACUAUUGCCGCGACUAGGGUGAGAGCAUUUGUUGAUCCGAUUUUAUUUUUGAAGGUUUUUCUAAAACCGAAUCUAAUUAGCAUAAAUCCAACCAAAAUAAUUCAGUCGGUUCCAUUUGAUUUCUUUCAUUAUUAAAAUAUUUUUAUUAAUACU